GGAGGAUUGGCCGAGCGGUAAGGCACUGGCUUGCUAAGCCAUGGUCGGGGUCACCCCCGCGCGCGUUCGAUCCGCGCAUCCUCCG
rnacentral:tRNA from 1 species